CUUCCAUAAAUAAGGACUGGUCCCUAACUGCAGGAAAUAUAUGUGCACUUCACAGAACAUUUAUAACAAUUCAUAAUUUAUUACUUUUGCCUCAGGCUGGGUAACCACAACAAAAGUUGGCAAAUAGGCCCUUUGAAGGUAGCUUGCAUGUCAGGCUCGAUGCUUGAAAUAGAGCCUGUUAUACCAUGUGAGCAAAGUCCUCUCAUAUUUCUUCUCGGCACAGCACGGAGAAGCGAGAGAUAAGCAACUGCCUAUUUCCCAGAAGAAGAUUUAAUAAAUAGUUUCCGGUUCGGAUCAAAACCGGUUAUAAAACUGGUAUCAAACCUGAAAUUACUCAUAAUUAUCCAAGUUUUUGAAUUGUCGGCUCCACAAAGAAUAUACACAAGUGCUGCAGAGUAUCUCUUGUGCUGAGAAGAAAUACGAGAGGACUUUGCUCGCAGGGUAAGCCUGUCACUGAAGUCAAUAAAAAGUGGACAGUGAUUGGGAUGCACAAAAAUAACAACCAAUCAAAAUGGCGAUUGUUAAUUAUGUAUCAGUCAAUUCCAGCAGUGCCCAUCCCCCCGAGGUAUUAGCCAUUUCUGGGAAGAAAAUGGCUAUGUCCACAAGCCAUUUGCAAUCAAAUUAAAUAUCAGUUUUCCAGCAAAUCUACCAAAUCCCCCAUGAUGGAAAAUGUCAAAAUCCUCACCCUGGGCAGGGCUAAAAAAUAUUGGCAAUAGCCCCACCCCCGUGAUUGGGAAAAGCUGCAAAGGCCCAGGGGUGGGAACUGCUGGAAUUAAUUGAUACAUUAGAUUAUCAAAGCUAAUUUAAAAUAUGACAAUAACGGCCAACUUUUCCACCAAUAUCUCAAAACUAAAUAUUCCAAUUUUCAUUGAAUGGCCAGGAAUUACAUAUUAAAUAAUAAUAAUUGUUAUUGACUGCAGCGAAGGCAGUCAUUAACAUGGCCAAAAGUAGUUAAAUACAAUUACAAAUACGGAAUAUCAUUACAUACACAACAAUUUGACAUUACCUUAUAAACAAAGCUAUUUAUUUCUGACCAAUGGGAAUUUUGCGUACGAAUCAUGUGCAUCAAUCCUUUUUACUGACCUCAGUAGCAGGCUUUAUUUCAAGCAUAGAGUCUGACACGCUAGUUACUUUUAAUAACCCAUUGAGUUGCAUUGACCCCCCCACACACACUUAAUUUCAAUACAUUGUUUUCACCAUUGUGUUUAUACAACCUUGCAAAUUUACUAGUAGGAAUUUCCAUUGUGUUUGCAGCCCUCACACUUUGUGUUUCAUUAUGGCAUCUUGACCUUGAAAGAGUCUAUUACUGUGGCUCCAACAUUUUCCCGUUCGGCGUUAGAAACACAAUACAUUGAUAAUAAAAUGACUGAAAUAUUACAGAUUUAAAAGCCUGACACCUAGCGACAAAGUUUAAGUUUCACACAAGUAGUGACGAAUGGUGACCAUUGUGGUUGUAUUUCGGUCUUGUUAGGCUACACCAUGUUCUUUUGACCACCUAUCCGUAACAGGAUUAUUUGCAUCAACAGCCGUAAACAAAGCACCCAAAUAAACAGCAGUUUGCGAAUAUUAUUGUUGCAAUUUACAAAGGUUGCGGCCCGUUCCAGCUUUGUAAAAUUGAAAAUUGUGAACUUUUGUCCUCUAUUUCAAGCUUGUAGCCUUCCAAGUUUACUCACAUAAAAUGAAUUUCGCUUUAUAAAGUCUGUUUCAUCGGAAAACUUUUAAGGUUCAUCGGAAAAAUAAAAAAAAU